AUGGUUGGAUGGCAUCAUCAAUUCAAUGGACAUGAGUGUGAGGAAACUCCAAGAGAUAGUGAAGGACAGGAAGCCUGGUGUGCUGAGGCCCAGGGGUGUCUCCAAGAGUGGGACAUGACUGAGACUGAGCAACAGGCAAGGGCGGGGACACAGUCCUCAGAUCCACUCAGAUCAACUCAGAAAGGGUGGGGACACGGUCCUCAGAUCAAGGGCGGGGAAACAGUCCUCAGACCCACUCAGACCAACUCAGAAAGGGCGGGGACACAGUCCUCAGAUCAAGGGUGGGGACACGGUCCGCAGAUCCCCUUGACCAACUCAGAAAGGGUGGGGACACAGUCCUCAGAUCCACUCAGACCAACUCAGAAAGGGUGGGGACACGGUCCUCAGACCCACUCAGACCAACUCAGAAAGGGUGGGGACACAGUCCUCAGAUCCCCUCGACCAACUCAGAAAGGGCGGGGACACAGUCCUCAGAUCCCCUCAGACCAACUCAGAAAGGGUGGGGACACAGUCCUCAGAUCCCCUCGACCAACUCAGAAAGGGUGGGGACACAGUCCUCAGAUCCCCUCGACCAACUCAGAAAGGGUGGGGACACGGUCCUCAGACCCACUCAGACCAACUCAGAAAGGGCGGGGACACAGUCCUCAGAUCCCCUCAGACCAACUCAGAAAGGGUGGGGACACAGUCCUCAGACCCACUCAGACCAACUCAGAAAGGGUGGGGACACAGUCCUCAGAUCCCCUCGACCAACUCAGAAAGGGUGGGGACACAGUCCUCAGACCCACUCAGACCAACUCAGAAAGGGUGGGGACACAGUCCUCAGAUCCCCUCGACCAACUCAGAAAGGGCGGGGACACAGUCCUCAGAUCCCCUCAGACCAACUCAGAAAGGGUGGGGACACGGUCCUCAGAUCCCCUCGACCAACUCAGAAAGGGCGGGGACACAGUCCUCAGAUCCCCUCAGACCAACUCAGAAAGGGUGGGGACACAGUCCGCAGAUCCCCUCGACCAACUCAGAAAGGGUGGGGACACAGUCCUCAGAUCCCCUCGACCAACUCAGAAAGGGUGGGGACACAGUCCUCAGAUCCCCUCGACCAACUCAGAAAGGGUGGGGACACAGUCCGCAGAUCCCCUCGACCAACUCAGAUAA
rnacentral:lncRNA from 1 species